CCUGGCUCAGGACGAACGCUGGCGGUGUGCUUAACACAUGCAAGUGGUGCGACGAACCUGGCUUCGGCCAGGGGCAAAGCCGCGAACGGGUGAGUAACACGUGGGUAAUCUGCCCCGAUGACUGGGACAACCCGAGGAAACUCGGGCUAAUACCGGAUGUGGUGCCUGGACAUAAGUCUGGUCACUAAAGGUAGCUUCGGCUUCCGCAUUGGGAGGGGCCCGCGGCCCAUUAGCUUGUUGGUGGGGUCAAGGCCUACCAAGGCAACGAUGGGUAGCUGGUCUGAGAGGACGAUCAGCCACACUGGGACUGAGACACGGCCCAGACUCCUACGGGAGGCAGCAGUGGGGAAUCUUGCGCAAUGCGCGAAAGCGUGACGCAGCAACACCGCGUGAGGGAAGACGGCCUUAGGGUUGUAAACCUCUUUCAGAUGGGACGAAGGUGAUGCGGUGAAUAGCCGAUGUCAUUGACGGUACCGUCAGAAGAAGCUCCGGCUAACUACGUGCCAGCAGCCGCGGUAAUACGUAGGGAGCGAGCGUUGUCCGGAAUCAUUGGGCGUAAAGAGCAUGUAGGUGGAUCAAUAAGUCUGCUGUGAAAGUCGAAGGCUCAACCUUCGAAAGCCGGUGGAUACUGUUGAUCUAGAGUACGGAAGAGGCGAGUGGAAUUCCUGGUGUAGCGGUGGAAUGCGCAGAUAUCAGGAGGAACACCAAUAGCGAAGGCAGCUCGCUGGGACGUAACUGAC
rnacentral:rRNA from 1 species